rnacentral:rRNA from 1 species
GACGUAGGGCGCGAGCGUUGUCCGGAUUUAUUGGGCGUAAAGAGCUCGUAGGCGGCUUGUUGCGUCAGCUGUGAAAACCCGCAGCUCAACUGUGGGCUUGCAGCUGAUACGGGCGGGCUUGAAUCCGGGAGAGGGAUGCGGAAUUCCAGGUGUAGCGGUGAAAUGCGUAGAUAUCUGGAGGAACACCGGUGGCGAAGGCGGCAUCCUGGACCGGCAUUGACGCUGAGGCGCGAAAGCUAGGGGAGCAAACGGG